UACGUAGGCAGCGAGCGUUGUUCGGAGUUACUGGGCGUAAAGGGUGUGUAGGCGGUUCUCUAAGUUUGGUGUGAAAUCUCCCGGCUCAACCGGGAGGGUGCGCCGAAAACUGGGGGACUAGAGUGCGGGAUGGGAGAGUAGAAUUCCUGGUGUAGCGGUGAAAUGCGUAGAUAUCAGGAGGAACACCUGUGGCGAAAGCGGCUCACUGGACCAUAACUGACGCUGAUGCACGAAAGCUGGGGGAGCAAACAGG
rnacentral:rRNA from 1 species